UAUGGAAGGGCCAUCGCUCAACGGAUAAAAGGUACUCCGGGGAUAACAGGCUGAUACCGCCCAAGAGUUCACAUCGACGGCGGUGUUUGGCACCUCGAUGUCGGCUCAUCACAUCCUGGGGCUGAAGCCGGUCCCAAGGGUAUGGCUGUUCGCCAUUUAAAGUGGUACGCGAGCUGGGUUUAGAACGUCGUGAGACAGUUCGGUCCCUAUCUGCCGUGGACGUUGGAGAUUUGAGGAAAGCUGCUCCUAGUACGAGAGGACCGGAGUGGACGAACCUCUGGUGUUCGGGUUGUGACGCCAGUCGCAUUGCCCGGUAGCUAUGUUCGGACAGGAUAACCGCUGAAAGCAUCUAAGCGGGAAGCCCCUUCCAAGAUGAGAUCUCCCUGGACCCUCGAGGUCCCUGAAGAGCCGUUCAAGACCAGGACGUUGAUAGGUCGGGUGUGUAAGCGCUGCGAGGCGUUGAGCUAACCGAUACUAAUUGCUCGUGCGGCUUGACU
rnacentral:rRNA from 1 species